GCCAGACUCCUACGGGAGGCAGCAGUGAGGAAUAUUGGUCAAUGGUCGGGAGACUGAACCAGCCAAGCCGCGUGAGGGAGGAAGGUACAGAGUAUCGUAAACCUCUUUUGUCAGGGAACAAAGACUGGGACGCGUCCCCGGAUGAGUGUACCUGAAGAAAAAGCAUCGGCUAACUCCGUGCCAGCAGCCGCGGUAAUACGGAGGAUGCGAGCGUUAUCCGGAUUUAUUGGGUUUAAAGGGUGCGUAGGCGGACGCUUAAGUCAGCGGUAAAAUGGCGGGGCUCAACCUCGUCGAGCCGUUGAAACUGGCGUUCUUGAGUGGGCGAGAAGUAUGCGGAAUGCGUGGUGUAGCGGUGAAAUGCAUAGAUAUCACGCAGAACUCCGAUUGCGAAGGCAGCAUACCGGCGCCCUACUGACGCUGAGGCACGAAAGCGUGGGUAUCGAACAGGAUUAGAUACCCCGGUA
rnacentral:rRNA from 1 species